rnacentral:rRNA from 1 species
AAUUCGCCCUUUAAUUGUGGGCUUGUAUGAAUGGACGAACGAGAAUUUAUCUGUCUCUCUAGUAUAUCUAUAAAUUAAUCUUCAGGUGAAGAAGCCUGAAUCAUUCUAAAGGACAAAAAGACCCUAAAGAGCUCCGUUAAUUUUAACUUCAAACCUUCAUAUUCUAUAUACAACAUUUACCCUUAAAAUUAACUUAACUGGGGCGGUUAAGGAAUAAUAUUAAUCUUCCAUCUAUUUUAUACUAAGACCUACAAGUCACUCAAUACAAAUUGACCCUUAUAAGACCACAGAAAUAAGCUACCUUAGGGAUAACAGAUUAAUCCUCCUCAAGAGUACACAUUGACAGGAGGGAUUGACACCUCGAUGUUGGCUUAGGAUUACUUAAGGGUAGUAGAAGCCCUUAAAGUAGGUUUGUUCAACCUUUAAUUUCCUACGUGAU